AUACGGAGGAUGCAAGCGUUAUCCGGAUUUAUUGGGUUUAAAGGGUGCGUAGGCGGUUUGCUAAGCGGGAGGUGAAAUGCCGGCGCUCAACGUCGGAAGUGCCUCCCGAACUGGUGGACUGGAAUGACUCUGCCGUGGGAGGAAUGUGUAGUGUAGCGGUGAAAUGCUUAGAGAUUACACAGAACACCGAUUGCGAAGGCAUCUCACGAAGGGUUGAUUGACGCUGAGGCACGAAAGCGUGGGGAUCAAACAGGAUGAGAUACCCUGGUAGUCCACGCAAUAAACGAUGAUAGCUAACCGCUGGUUUUUUCGGAUCAGUGGCCAAGCGAAAGCGAUAAGCCAUCCACCUGGGGAGUACGACCGCAAGACUGAAACUCAAAUGAAUUGACGGGG
rnacentral:rRNA from 1 species